rnacentral:lncRNA from 1 species
CCUGAGUUAACUAUGAACUCCUGUUCACACGAGAUUAUCCUUAGAUCUGCAUAAGUGAGGGCAGCUCAUCAGCGUUGGCCCAAUAAGCCUCCCAUUUCAGGGGUAAGAUCGGGUGGAUAGCUGGGAACAUAGGGUACAAGAUGGAAUUCACUCCUACCCGCUUUAGGGUUAGUAGAUAGGUUGUUCUCUUAAGCACUGAAUCCAAGUCUUGAACAAGGGGCCCCACCCUCUCAUUGGCCCG